CCCUUAGAUGUUCUGGGCCGCACGCGCGCUACACUGAUGAAUUCAACGAGCACUAACCUGUGCCGAAAGGUUCGGGUAAUCUUGUGAAAUUUCAUCGUGAUGGGGAUUGAUUAUUGCAAUUUUUAAUCAUAAACGAGGAAUGCCUAGUAAGCGUGAGUCAUCAGCUCACGUUGAUUACGUCCCUGCCCUUUGUACACACCGCCCGUCGCUCCUACCGAUUGAGUGGUCCGGUGAAUUAUUCGGACUGCAACGCGUUCAGCUUCUGGAUGCAGUUGCGGAAAGUUUUGUAAACCUUAUCACUUAGAGGAAGGAGAAGUCGUAACA
rnacentral:rRNA from 1 species